GAUGGAUUCAAAGCCAAAGAAGGCAGAUCGCUCACCUUUCCUAUUAUUAUUAUUUUUUUCCCCCGAGACAUUCUGGAUAGAGACGUCCCAAGUGGAAGAAACGAUGAAAAGAAUCCGUGGGGACAUUUCGGAAGAUUUUGGCUUUUGGCAAACGCGGCGUUAGAAAUGUUUAGGGUUCUCCACGAUAAUGGGAUCAGACAAUUUUCGCCGUCAGCUUUGGGAUACGAAGCAUUUUUUUUU